rnacentral:lncRNA from 1 species
UGUCGAGAUCACAUGUUGAUAUGACUUAAUACUAGCAACUUGCAAUAAGUGGUCUGUUCUGCUUGUUUAUAAUACUUUAGAGUUUGGACAUUAGAACAUUGUAAUUGCCUGACAGAGACUGUUCGGGCCUGUUUGUAUGGAAGCCGGGCUGGCCCGCUUGGCAAGACAGCCCGGUAAGGUAGGUAAGCAGGAUGAUUUCUCUUGUGUUUAUUUGAGAUAAUUUCAUUCCGCUUACCAGGACAAUUUUGUUGUUUUGACAUUAUUUUGACAGUUGUUAAAAAUAGCUUGCGGCAGUAUCUUUGAACUUUAAUCCCGGCAACCGGGCUAGCCUGCUUAACUUGAAACUAACUUGUUUAUGUGGAGAAAUUUCCAUCCUGGUCUUGGCAACCGGGCCUGCCCGCUUGUCCAUAGAAAUGAUAAUUUGUACUAUAAAAAUAAC